CUCCCCUCCACCACCACCACCUGACACCAGCCAAACACCCCAAGCUCCUCCCCUGCCCUUUACUCCUGCCCCACGGUCACAGUCUCACGCACCCCACUGCUUUGAUUUUGACUACCCCUCUUCCCCCUCCCCCUCACUCCCCUACGCCACUCUAAACCCUGCGCUAAACCUUGGCAAGGGUAGGGGUAGGGUACGGUAGCCUCCGAUGGGGAACUGCGCCGCCUCCCGCCUCGCCGGCGGCGGUGGCGGCGGCGACGAAGGGGACCCCGUGGCCGUGUGCCGCGACCGGAAGCGCCUUAUCAAGGCGGCGGCCGAGCGCCGGUUCGUGCUGGCCGGCGCGCACGCCAACUACGCGGCGGCGCUGCGGUCCGUAUCCGACGCGCUCGACGUCUUCGUCGCGCGCCACACCGCGCCGGCGCCGAUCCUCAUCACGCUCCCCACCCCCAGCAACUCGCCCCCGGGUUCCCCCAAGGCGGCGCAGGUUCAGGUGCAGGAGCUUCCCUCCCCUGCCGCGCCGCCGCCGCAGCAGCAGCAGGAGGAGGAGGCGCCGGCAUCCCCGGCCGCCGCCGAAGAUGGGGGCGGCGGCGCGCAGACGCCGGAGAUGGCAUGCCCGUACUACUACCAGCCCCCGGUGACGCCGCCGCCGCCGCCGCCGCCUCCUGCGCCGUCGGCGGUCGGCGGAUGGGACUUCUUUAACCCGUUCUACGGUACGGAGGAGGUGGCUGCGGCCAUCAGCGACGAGGAGAUGCGCGCCGUGAGGGAGCGGGAGGGCAUCCCCGAGCUGGAGGAGGGAGGAGGAAGAGGAGGACGGAGCGAAGGCGGCGGAAGCCAAGGCCCCGAAGGCAGAAGUGUCGCUUGGAGUCUCAACGCCCCAAGAAGAGGCUAAAGAUGUGUGCGAGAUGGAGGGGAACAACAGCGGGCUGGAGGUGGCCGUGGCGCCUCAGGGGCGCGAGCUGCUUGCGGCGCUCAAGGAGGUGGAGGAGCUCUUCGCGCGCGCCGCCGAGGCCGGAAAGGAGGUGUCCAGCAUGCUCGAAGCCGCCACCCGCGUCCCCGAGCUCAAAGAAAAUUCAUCAAAGAUAAUUCAUGCCAUCACAUGGCAUCGCUCUCCAUCAUCUGUAUCCUCAUCCUACAGGAGUGAGCUGGGGGCAAGCUCAAAUAGCUUGUCAUGGACUGACAAGAGUGAAACUAAGAGUGAUAUAUUCGAAGAUUAUGGUGUGAUGAAGUCAGGAAGUCACUCCCAGACUUUAGGGAGACUGUAUGCUUGGGAGAAGAAACUUUAUGAAGAAGUUAAGGCUAUAGAUCAAAUUCGACAAACCUAUGAGAAAAAAUGUGUUCAGCUGAGGAACCAAGAUGCCAGAGGUUCAGAGCUGCGUAGUGCUGAAAAAACUAGGACAACAGUUAGAGACUUGUAUACAAGAAUCUGGGUUUCUCUACGAGCAGCAGAAUCUAUAUCUGAUAGGAUACAAAAGUUACGGGAUGAGGAACUGCAGCCACAACUUGUUGAGCUGUUGCAAGGCUUCACAAAAUCUUGGAAAUUAAUGGUAGACUCACAUGAAACCCAGAGACAGAUAAUGUUUGAGGUGAAUUCAUUCACAUGUCCAGCUUAUGGCAAAUUCUGUAAUGACGCACAGCGUCAUGCAACUCUGAAGUUGGAGGUGGAACUAAGAAAUUGGAGAUCCUGCUUUGUAAGCUAUGUCAAUGCUCAGAAAGCAUAUAUGGAAGCUCUUGAUGGCUGGUUAUCGAAGUUUAUUCUUACUGAUACCAUCCGGUACUCCAGAGGGAUCUCAUCAAUUUCUCCUGAUAGAGCUGGUGCCCCAGCUUUAGUUGUUAUUUGCCAUGACUGGUACACUACGCUGUCCAAGCUUCCAAACAAGCGGGUCUCCUUCACCAUGCGAAAUUUUCUCAGAAGUGUGAGAGUGCUAUGGCUGAAGCAGGGAGAAGAGCAACAGCAGAAAAGAAAAGUAGACAGCCUGUCAAAAGAGCUGGACAAGAAGCUAACCGCCUACAAAAGAGCAGAGAACAGGAUCAUUGGCACCAAGCUUCUGGAGCAUAAACCUGAUAUAGACGCGAAGCAGCGCAUGGAGCACCUGUUGGAGAAGAAAGAGAUGCUCAACGUCUUGAGGAAGAGGAUUGAGAUGGAGAAAGUGAAGCAUCAAGCCUGCAUGCGGGACACACAUGACGUCACUCUCAACGGGUUCAAGAUUGGCCUCGCCAGUAUCUUCGAAUCGCUGACCGAGUUCUCGAAGGAUCUGGUCAAGCUUUACGAAGACCUUCUAGCUCAAGCCAACUCCAAAGAUUCGGAGAAGGCUACUGCCGGGAAACGGCCCUGCGUGGAGGGGCCAUACUCGCACAUAGCGGUGGAUGCUUCAUGAAUGUUAGUGAGCUCCGUUGUAGGACCUAGCCAGUUGCAUUGCCCCAGUUUUUGGGCCCCUAGAAUCUGUGUCUGAUUUUAGCUUGUAGAGUACCAUGCUGAUGUUGGUUGGUUGUGGGAGGUAGGGUCAUUCUUGUGGGCAACUUGUGCUUGUAACUAUUCUUGUAGCUUGAUAUCAGUGGGGAUUUGCUCUAUCGCUGGUGUUCUUCCCUAGUGGUGCCGUUCACCCUGUCUGGCAUCUGGCCAUCGCAAUGUGCCAAUGUGCAUGAGAAUGGGGAACACUGGACCGGUAGUCAGGUACUGCAUAUGUUAACCA